AUGUCUUCACGGAGGCUGGAUUGCAUGGGAGCCAGUGCCCACUUUGAAGGUGAAGAAUCCAGGGAGGAAAAUUGUGUUGGUGGAAUAUGGCCUAAAUCUAUCCAAGUUCAGCUUCUCCUCCUUGAUUUGGCCCAGGAUGUGAAUUCAAUACACAAAUAUUUGCCAGCUGUUCCUUGCAGGGCCACGCUGACUGAGUUAGUGCCUGUGCUGUUAUGGGUUCAUUGGCCUGGUAUGUGGCAGGAAUCUUUGGAUCAAGAGGUCCAGAGUUUUGGGAGGGAGGCCGGGCAGGCGGAGCUGUCGUUUGUCUUUAUCAGAUACAAUGAAGAUAAGAAGGUCCUGCUCUCAUGUACCAUCUGUUUCUGCUGGAGACCUCCGGGGCCCUAACCUAACCACACACACUGCAUGAAGAUGGUGCCCUUACCCACUGUGUAUGUGUGUGUGUGCGUGCGUGCGUGCGUGCGCGUGUGUGUGUGUGCUUGUGUGUGUGUGUCUUUGUGUGUGUCUUUGUGUGUGUGUGUGUGUGU
rnacentral:lncRNA from 13 species